GAGGGUAUAGCUCAGUGGUAGAGUACAUGCUUAGUAUGGCUGGGGUCCUGGGUUCAAUCCCCAGUGCUUCCA
rnacentral:tRNA from 1 species